GGAUGAGUAUGUAAGAGGUUAAGCUGACAGAGUGUAAAUCUGUCGCCUGAUGGCUUCGUAGGUUCAACUCCUACCUCACCCA
rnacentral:tRNA from 1 species